rnacentral:rRNA from 1 species
UACGAAGGGGGCUAGCGUUGUUCGGAAUUACUGGGCGUAAAGCGCGAGUAGGCGGGCCGUUAAGUCGGGGGUGAAAGCCCAGAGCUCAACUCUGGAACUGCCUUCGAUACUGGCGUCCUGGAGCAUUAUAGAGGCGAGUGGAAUUGCGAGUGUAGAGGUGAAAUUCGUAGAUAUUCGCAGGAACACCAGUGGCGAAGGCGACUCGCUGGAUCAUUGCUGAAGCUGAGACGCGAAAGCGUGGGGAGCAAACAGG